rnacentral:misc_RNA from 1 species
GAUGAAGAACGUAGCGAAAUGCGAUAAGUAGUGUGAAUUGCAGAAUUCAGUGAAUCAUCGAAUCUUUGAACGCACAUUGCGCCCUUUGGUAUUCCGAAGGGCAUGCCUGUUCGAGCGUCAUUAUCACCCCUCAAGCCCUCGGCUUGGUGUUGGACGGUUUGGUGGAGGCCCCCUCGGGGGCUCCUGCCCCUCCCAAAGACAAUGACGGCGGCCUCGUUGGACCCCCGGUACACUGAGUUCUUCACGGGACACGUAUCGGACACAUGGGUUUACGGGACACGGUCUGCCUCCCCUCAAGGGAGAAUCUUUCUAAGGUUGACCUCGGAUCAGGUAGGGAUACCCGCUGAACUUAAGCAUAUCAAUAAGCGGAGGA